rnacentral:rRNA from 1 species
GUGAUGAAGGUUUUCGGAUCGUAAAGCUCUGUUGUUAGGGAAGAACAAGUACCGUUCGAAUAGGGCGGUACCUUGACGGUACCUAACCAGAAAGCCACGGCUAACUACGUGCCAGCAGCCGCGGUAAUACGUAGGUGGCAAGCGUUGUCCGGAAUUAUUGGGCGUAAAGGGCUCGCAGGCGGUUUCUUAAGUCUGAUGUGAAAGCCCCCGGCUCAACCGGGGAGGGUCAUUGGAAACUGGGGAACUUGAGUGCAGAAGAGGAGAGUGGAAUUCCACGUGUAGCGGUGAAAUGCGUAGAGAUGUGGAGGAACACCAGUGGCGAAGGCGACUCUCUGGUCUGUAACUGACGCUGAGGAGCGAAAGCGUGGGGAGCGAACAGGAUUAGAUACCCUGGUAGUCCACGCCGUAAACGAUGAGUGCUAAGUGUUAGGGGGUUUCCGCCCCUUAGUGCUGCAGCUAACGCAUUAAGCACUCCGCCUGGGGAGUACGGUCGCAAGACUGAAACUCAAAGGAAUUGACGGGGGCCCGCACAAGCGGUGGAGCAUGUGGUUUAAUUCGAAGCAACGCGAAGAACCUUACCAGGUCUUGACAUCCUCUGACAAUCCUAGAGAUAGGACGUCCCCUUCGGGGGCAGAGUGACAGGUGGUGCAUGGUUGUCGUCAGCUCGUGUCGUGAGAUGUUGGGUUAAGUCCCGCAACGAGCGCAACCCUUGAUCUUAGUUGCCAGCAUUCAGUUGGGCACUCUAAGGUGACUGCCGGUGACAAACCGGAGGAAGGUGGGGAUGACGUCAAAUCAUCAUGCCCCUUAUGACCUGGGCUACACACGUGCUACAAUGGACAGAACAAAGGGCAGCGAAACCGCGAGGUUAAGCCAAUCCCACAAAUCUGUUCUCAGUU